CCUACGGGAGGCAGCAGUGGGGGAUAUUGCACAAUGGGGGGAACCCUGAUGCAGCGACGCCGCGUGGGUGAAGGAGCGUUUCGGCGCGUAAAGCUCUCUCGGCAGGGAAGAAGAUGACGGUCCCUGACAAAGAAGCCCCGGCUAAGUACGGGCCCACAGCCGCGGUAAUACGGGGGGGGCAAGCGUUAUCCGGAUGUACUGGGUGUAAAGGGGGCGGAGACGGCCAUGCAAGCCAGGAGUGAAAGGCCGGGGCCCAACCCCGGGACUGCGCUUGGAACUGGAUGGCUGGAGUACAGGAGGGGCAGGGGGAAGUCCUGGUGUAGCGGUGAAAUGCGUAGAUAUUAGGAGGAACACCGGUGGCGAAGGCGGCCUGCUGGACUGUGACUGACGUUGAGGCCCGAAGGCGGGGGGAGCAAAUAGGAUUAGAUACCCGAGUAGUC
rnacentral:rRNA from 1 species